GGUCAGUCUUGGCUUUGGCAUUCUCGCGGAAGGUCAGCUUGUGAGACUCGAUCUGCACAAAGAAAAGGCGCAGGGUGGAGAAAUCAGUGGGGCGCAAAAGGGCGUCAGCAACAAAAUGAACUGAAUUAAAACCGACAGCAAAGAAAUGGGAAGGGAGGAACAGGUCUGCAAAACGCAUCGAAGGAGAGAGGGAAAAUUCACGGAGCCCAUAGAGA